rnacentral:rRNA from 1 species
ACGGAGGAUCCGAGCGUUAUCCGGAUUUACUGGGUUUAAAGGGUGCGUAGGCGGGCGUCUAAGUCAGCGGUGAAAUGCGGGGGCUCAACCUUCGAACUGCCGUUGAUACUGGGCGUCUUGGAUUCGGUCGAGGCGGGCGGAAUGCGUGGUGUAGCGGUGAAAUGCUUAGAUAUCACGCAGAACGCCGAUUGCGAAGGCAGCUCGCCGGGCCGAUAUCGACGCUGAGGCACGAAAGCGUGGGGAUCGAACAGGAUUAGAUACCCUGGUAGUCCACGCCGUAAACGAUGAUGGCUGGAUGUUGGCGAUACACCGUCAGCGUCUGAGGGAAACCAUUAAGCCAUCCACCUGGGGAGUACGGCCGCAAGGCUG